GAUGAACGCUGGCGACAGGCUUAACACAUGCAAGUCGAGGGGAAACGACGGGGAAGCUUGCUUCCCCGGGCGUCGACCGGCGCACGGGUGAGUAACGCGUAUCCAACCUGCCUCUGACUGAGGGAUAACCCGUCGAAAGUCGGCCUAAUACCCCAUGGCCUCGUCUGCGGACGUCCAACGACGAUUAACGUUUUCCUCGGGCAGAGAUGGGGAUGCGUCUGAUUAGCUUGUUGGCGGGGUAACGACCAACCAAGGGGACGAUCAGUGGGGGUUCUGAGAGGAAGGUCCCCCACAUUGGAACUGAGACCCGGUCCAAACGCCUACGGGAGGCAGCAGUGAGGAAUAUUGGGCGAUGGGCGAGAGCCUGAACCAGCCGAGUGGCGUGCAGGAUGACGGCCCUAUGGGUUGUAUACUGCUUUUAUGCGAGGAUAAAGUGAGGGACGUGUCCUUCAUUGCAGGUACCGAAUGAAUAAGGACCGGCUAAUUCCGUG
rnacentral:rRNA from 1 species